rnacentral:rRNA from 1 species
CAACAGUUGGAAACGACUGCUAAUACCGCAUGAUACAUUUGGGUGGCAUCAUCUGAAUGUCAAAGAUUUAUCGCUGAAAGAUGGCCUCGCGUCUGAUUAGCUGGUUGGUGAGGUAACGGCCCACCAAGGCGACGAUCAGUAGCCGGACUGAGAGGUUGACCGGCCACAUUGGGACUGAGAUACGGCCCAGACUCCUACGGGAGGCAGCAGUGGGGAAUAUUGGGCAAUGGGCGCAAGCCUGACCCAGCAACGCCGCGUGAAGGAAGAAGGCUUUCGGGUUGUAAACUUCUUUUAAGAGGGAAGAGCAGAAGACUGUACCUCUAGAAUAAGCCACGGCUAACUACGUGCCAGCAGCCGCGGUAAUACGUAGGUGGCAAGCGUUGUCCGGAUUUACUGGGUGUAAAGGGCGUGCAGCCGGGAAUGCAAGUCAGAUGUGAAAUCCAUGGGCUUAACCCAUGAACUGCAUUUGAAACUGUAUUUCUUGAGUACUGGAGAGGCAAUCGGAAUUCCUAGUGUAGCGGUGAAAUGCGUAGAUAUUAGGAGGAACACCAGUGGCGAAGGCGGAUUGCUGGACAGCAACUGACGGUGAGGCGCGAAAGUGUGGGGAGCAAACAGGAUUAGAUACCCUGGUAGUCCACACUGU